rnacentral:rRNA from 1 species
AGCGAACGCUGGCGGCAGGCCUAACACAUGCAAGUCGAACGAACCUUUCGGGGUUAGUGGCGGACGGGUGAGUAACACGUGGGAACGUGCCUUUAGGUUCGGAAUAACUCAGGGAAACUUGUGCUAAUACCGAAUGUGCCCUUCGGGGGAAAGAUUAAUCGCCUUAGAGCGGCCCGCGUCUGAUUAGCUAGUUGGUUGAGGUAAUGGCUCACCAAGGCGACGAUCAGUAGCUGGUCUGAGAGGAUGAUCAGCCACAGUGGGACUGAGACACGGCCCAAACUCCUACGGGAGGCAGCAGUGGGGAAUCUUGCGCAAUGGGCGAAAGCCUGACGCAGCCAUGCCGCGUGAAUGAUGAAGGUCUUAGGAUUGUAAAAUUCUUUCACCGGGGACGAUAAUGACGGUACCCGGAGAAGAAGCCCCGGCUAACUUCGUG